rnacentral:rRNA from 1 species
UACGAAGGGGGGCGAGCGUUUGUUCGGAUUUACUGGGCGUAAAGGGCGCGCAGGCGGCCAUUCAAGUCAGGCGUGAAAUCCCCCAGGCUCAACCUGGGAACUGCGUCUGAUACUGGAUGGCUUGAAUCCGGGAGAGGGGAUGCAGAAUUCCAGGUGUAGCGGUGAAAAUGCGUAGAUAUCUGGAGGAAUACCGGUGGCGAAGGCGGCAUCCUGGACCGGCAUUGACGCUGAGGAGCGAAAAGCCAGGGGGAGCAAAACGGG